UACUUUGGAAUUAAUGAUUGUAGAUAAGAAACUCUCAAGAAUUUUUUGGUACCAUGAGUUAUGCACUCCUCUAGGGUGGAUGAGGACUCUCAUAAAUGAAUUGAUUCUUGAAAUCGAUGUAAAACAGAGCAGUCUCACAAGGAAGAAGAAGUCAUACAACUCUUCCAUUUUACCAUGGAAAGAAGUUCUUUACUGUGAGUGAUUCUUCAAGAAAUGAAGCAGGAAAUAAUAAUAUUAAGAAAAUUCAUGAUGUGUCAUUCAUGCCAGAAGCUAUCUUGUCGGAGCUUUCACGACAGUCAUGAGUCAUUCCAUCAAUGUGAUCAAUCAUCAACCCAUGACGGCGUAUUUUCUUAUGGAAGGUAAUGUUAUAAAAUUUCUUAGAAGGGUGAGGUUUUCUUGUGAUAUUACUUACUCACAUGACUUGAUGUAUCUCCCUUGAGGCCAAGUGUGAAAAUUGAACUUGUCAACAUCUAAAAUAGAAAAUUACAAGCUCGAGGGGAGUGUGCAAGUACGCACAAUGUGGCGUCAAAAGAAGGAAUGAUGUCCAGGUUUAAAACUCAUAAGGUAGGCGAAAAUAAUGUAGAAGAUGACCUACGAAGGCCAUCAAGGAUCCAUAGGUGGUGACCGUCGAAGUGCAGUUCAGGCUGAUGGAGAAGAUCGGAGAAAUCUAACUAAGUGUGGAACCAUAAGAGCAAAACAACUAAAUGAAUGUCUGUCGAUUGAUCUAUGCACCGUACUGGUGAACCAUCAAUUGGUUCAGAGAGGUUCCAGUACUUGACUUCUUCAAUAUUCUAAGUGUGGAUCAAUGGAGGCGCAUCGACGGGGUGUAUAUUGAUCGACGGACCAUACUGUUGGUCUGUUGUUUGAUUCACAGAAGGUGUUAUUCGGUGAAGAAAAGAUAAUUCCAAGUAUGGACUGACGAAAGCAGACGACGGACCGUCGUUCCAUCAACGGUUCGUUAGUGGGGUCAUCAAUUGAAGUCGCGUUUAUGGGAAGAACUUUUCUUAUUUCAAUUCUUUUUUCUAUAGAACAAUAUUUUCUACAAAUAGGGAAUUAAAGCCUCAUUUUGGGAGUUAACUACUCUUUUUAUUAUUCAAAUUUGUGUUAGAUA